UCCGGUUUGGCACCGGCAGUCUCCAAUGAGUCCCCGGCAUUACCCGCUGGCAACAUUGGACAGGGGUUGCGCUCGUUGCGCCACUUAAGGCAACACCUCACGGCACGAGCUGACGACAGCCAUGCAGCACCUGUCUAGCAGUUCCGAAGAAGGGCCCCACUUUCGUGAGGCUUGCCACUAGAUGUCAAGCCCAGGUAAGGUUCUUCGCGUUGCAUCGAAUUAAGCCACAUGCUCCGCCGCUUGUGCGGGUCCCCGUCAAUUCCUUUGAGUUUUAGCCUUGCGGCCGUACUCCCCAGGCGGAGUGCUUAAUGCGUUAGCUGCGGCACAGAGAGGGUUGAAGACCUCCCCACACCUAGCACUCAACGUUUACGGCUGGGACUAC
rnacentral:misc_RNA from 1 species